ensembl:lncRNA
AAAAAAAUCUCUUUAAAAAAAAAAAAAAAAAAAAAAGAAUUACAAGCCUCAGUCAAAAGAAAGGUAUUUAUUCCUCAAUCCAAAGAGUUAUCUGAAAGUUGUCUCUGCUCCCUAGUCCUUCAUAGCUAGGUCAUUCUACAUCUUUUCCCUUCCUUUUGUUCUUGAUUAUUCCACAUUAGUUCCCUGCACAGAGGUCCAUUGCUGUCUUUUAUUUGCCCGUAUCCAGAGCUGGGCUGUGACGGGCACCCCUAAAGUACAGGUGACUGGCUAUAGAACUCAGAAAAGGAAGAAAAGGAAAAGAGACAAAAUAAUUUCAGAAAUAAACACCAAAUUAAAAGAAACUCAAGUUAUAGAAAUAAGAAAAACAAACAAAAAGAAAGAAAAAUGUAGAAAAAGAUUAAAAAGCACUACAGAGAAAAUGACAUGUUUUAGAAGAAUACAAAGAGGACUAUAUGUGUGUGUAUAAAUGUGUGGAUAUAAAUCUAUAUAUACACAUAAUUCACCCAAAUACUAAGAGAAAUCAAAACAAUGAACCAAAAUAAUUUUUUUUUGAGGAAGAUUAGCCGUGAGCUAACAUCUGCCAUCAAUCCUCCUCUUUUUGCUGAGGAAGACUGGCCCUGAGCUAACAUCCAUGCCCAUCUUCCUCUGCUUUACAUGUGGGACACCUACCACAGCGUGGCUUGACAAGCAGUGCAUAGGUCCGCACCUGGGAUCCUGCGAACCCCAGGCCACCGAAGCGGAAGGUGGGAACUUUGCUGUGCCACUGGGCUGGCCCCCAAAAUAAAUAUUUUUAAACAUAAUUCAAGAAUAAUAACUGUUGGACUUUGUGGCUGCUGAUCUUGCCUUCUCCCCUUGGGUUUGGAGCCAGGGCUGACCUUGGACAAAGUAUUAAGUAGAUUAACUUUGUUCUCAGCCCUACACAUCCCUUUUCACACUUGGGCAACAGCACUGCAUUAGACUACUGGGGACUGAAUCUCGAACUACACUUACUAGUUGUGUGACCUUGAGCAGAUGACGUAAAAUCUCUAAACCUCAGUUUUCUGAUCUCAUAAAUGCUGGUACUAUCUCAAAAGGUGGUUGUGAAGCUUCAGUAACAUAAUACAUAUGAAUGAUUGGCAUACUGUCAUCUCUCAAUAUAUUUUAACUUUUAUUAGUAGUAGUAUCAGUAUUAUGAAGAUGCAAAUGACUGACAAGGCAUGGUUGUGCACCUCUUGGGCUGUGAGAAGCCUGGUGUGUAGGACGCUGGUGUGAACUCAGGGAGAGAGAGACCUGUGACAACAGAGCACGCGCACCUCAACAUGGUUCUCUUUUCUCUACUCACCAAUGUAUGUAGAACAGCUCUGCUGAAACAGCUCAUUUCUUUGUGAAAACAACGUUUUAAAAAGGUUAUCAGCUGGUGCCAGCGACACAGAUAAAGGAAAAGGAAUGAGCUCCAAGAAAGUGAUGGUUCCUAGCCAGAAAACUGUCAGAAGUUUGGGAUAAAUGACAAGUGGAACGUUAAGCUGGGCAGUGCCCAAGACUGAGGAUGUGAAUGAGUCCACCACACAUAUUCUGUGGAGAAAGGAAAACACAGUUUGUGAAACCGUUUGAGUAAGUCCUCCAGAUAGCACAAAAUUGCUUAUUAAGUGAGACACAAAACUGUAGUGAAAGUUGGAAACAAAAGACUGGUGUGAGACUGUGUGCAGGAAGUGUGAGUCUUGGUGGAGCUGAGACAUGAGAGAAGUGAGGGACCUGUCUGAACGUUCCAUGUUUGCAGACUGAGGGACUUGUGUAAGGUGUCAGGUAUGAUCGUGUCCAAAGUCAAGGGGCGGUCUUACUUUGUUGGCUUGUGUCUGCCUCUGCAUUGGCCGACGGGCUGCUUGAGGGAGGGGUUUGGAGCAUCACUGUUCUCUCUCCAGAAUCAGCCCUGUGCCUGGCAAGUGGUAGGUGUUGAAUAAGUGUUCAGUGAGUGAGCAAUUGAGUGAGCCCAUCUCAGGAACCAGGUUCCAAGGACUGAGCAGGACUAGCAUAUGGGAAGCUGUAUCAGGACACUCAACUAUGACCACAGAGUUUCCGCCUAGGGACGGAAUGAGUAGAAGCAUCUGGGGUGAGGCAAGCCCUUGCUGAGACAUUCCAGCCGAGAAGUUUGGAGAUCUGCAGAGACCUUGAAUCCAGCAUUGCAAAAGCUUCCUGCUUCCAUUGAGGAAGAUGAGAAAGAAGAAGUAAGUUGCCAUGAAUCCUACAGUGGCAAGGACAUAAAUUCAACAGCCUGAGAGAGUUUGGAAGCCACCCUUCCCCAGUCAAGCCUCUGAUGAGAACCCAGCCCUGGCCAAUAACUUGACCACAGCCUUGUUAUACUCUGAACAGAGGACCCAGCUAAGCUGUGUCCAGACUCCUGACCCCCAGGAACUGUGAGAUAAUAAAUGUGGCUGUUGUUUUAAGUCGCUAAGUUUGUGGCAAUUUAAUAUGUA